rnacentral:misc_RNA from 1 species
GACUGCGGAGGAUCAUUAUCGAAACAAAAUGUGCGAGGCGNGCUCCGGCUGUCGCUGACUCNNAAAGUUGUGCACGCCGGANGGUGUCCUCUCGCAUAAUAAUCCAUCUCACCCUUUGUGCACCACCGCGUGGGUACCCUCCGGGAUCCGACCGAUCUUG